CACCGGCUCUCUCGCCUCCCUCGGCCCAGGGCUGCAGGUGGAGGAGAAGAGCUGCCGCCUGGGUGACUCCCAGGCUGGCUGGAGAGAAAAGCGGCAGCGCCCUGCAGAAGAGCCGAGACACUGGGGGGAUGGUCACGAUCCCAGGCUCAGCCAUUGUGCUGAUUUGGCUUUUCAGCUCCAGCAUGGAAGAUGCUGUAACUCAGACCCAGCCUUCAGUGUCAGGGGUGGAGCGUGAGUCCGUUUCCCUGGACUGCACUUAUGAAACUGUGGCGAGCAGUUAUAUUUUUUAUUGGUACAAACAGCUGCCCAGGGAAAAGGUUAUUUUCCUUUCUUGGCAACAUUCUGGAGGAGAAAAGACAAAUGAGGCAGGAGAGAGAUUUUUUUUCAAUUUGGAGAAAUCCAAAAGCUCCGUCAGUAUGAGGAUCACAGAGCUGGAGUUGGGGGACGCGGCCAUGUACUUCUGCGCUUUCAGUAGAGACACACACAAUGUUGAAAUUCAUAGGGAGCCCUGAACAAAAACUGACACCUCUCCAACUAC